AGGCCGAAAGGCGUAGUCGAUGGGAAACAGGUUAAUAUUCCUGUACUUGGUGUUACUGCGAAGGGGGGACGGAGAAGGCUAUGUUAGCCGGGCGACGGUUGUCCCGGUUUAAGCAUGUAGGCUGGUUGUCCAGGCAAAUCCGGAUAAUCAAGGCUGAGGUGUGAUGACGAGGCACUACGGUGCUGAAGUAACAAAUGCCCUGCUUCCAGGAAAAGCCUCUAAGCAUCAGGUAACAUCAAAUCGUACCCCAAACCGACACAGGUGGUCAGGUAGAGAAUACCAAGGCGCUUGAGAGAACUCGGGUGAAGGAACUAGGCAAAAUGGUGCCGUAACUUCGGGAGAAGGCACGCUGGUGUGUAGGUGAA
rnacentral:rRNA from 1 species